CGCGCCCGCCGGCGACCUUACCGCCUCCACGGCGUGCUGCAGGAUGGAGGUGAACUUGGAGAACAUCCUGUCCCGCGACUGCAGCAGUCGCUGCCGGGAGGACCUCGAGAGCUCCUCGAUCCGCCGCCGCCGCCGCUCCAGGGCAUGGAGAGCUACAGCCCAAAUACUCUAUGGAAGUAAAUACUAGUUGUAUGUGGACACCUUUAUUGCAGUUGUUAAAGAGCAGAGCUAUUCCCUUCUCAAAAUCCAGGAGUCUCAAUAUGUCAAUUUAAAAGAAGAAGUUCCUGCAGUCUGGAUUUUUGCUUCAGAGAGCCUGAAGAUUUGGUGAAUUUUUUUUACCCUAGAUGAAAAUUUUCCUUGACUGCUUGGAUGAAAUAAAGAAUGAAGUUUUAGUGGUUCAGCAUGGUCUCUGCUUUUGAGGAGUGCUAAGAAGAUAUUCAACAUCAUUUUCAGACCUUUCUGAUGCUGGGCUUUACUACAGAAAGGAUGCUGCACAUCCACACUGAAGAGGAUGCAGAGGAAUUGAAGUCAUAUUCUGUCAUGAAUUUUCUGGUUCUGUGCUCUCAGCUGUGUACAUCACCUCCCUCCUUGCUGAUUCGCUCGCAGCUCCAUGUAAUCAGCUCAUGCAGUAUUGCAUAAAUCCCAUUUUCAGGCAUUUCCUGGCCAGUGCAUUCUGUUCCACAUCUGCACAUCUGCUCUUUCUGUGGAGACAUUAAUUUGUCUUCUGCUGGGUUACAAACUUCCCAGUCAUUCAUGUGUUAUCUGAAUGCUUACCUGUCAUAUCUGCAAGAGUCUCCUGACACCAGCACUCAUUGCUACCACAGAGGACACAACACUGGACAAAUACUGCCUGCCCAGCAGCUAUUCCUUGUUGGUGCUUCAGUUACACUCUCUUGCCACCCUGCUUUACCUUAUGUAAUGCUUCUAAAUGAGACCACUAGGAGGUCAGAAGUACAUGUUGUCAGUAAAAUGAGACAUUUCUUUUCAAAUCACAUCAUAUUUUCCUCAAGUAUUUCUGUUCCACUGUAACCAUUAAAAUCCAAGCUUUCCUCUAUGAGUAAAUAUGUGGAUGUUCUGCCAUACAGUAUCUGAAAGUGCUAACAUAUCAUGAAUUAUGGAAAGCAGAUAAAAUACCCUCAGAUGUGAUCAGAGUUUAACCAAUUUCACUGCAGGCUGGCAGGAGUACAAGGAUACUUUUCUUGUGGUAGUGGAAGCCAAAGCAAGGAGAUUAAAGAUAAACUACUCGGUUUAUGCUAUAUUGCAACUGUAAUGAAUGCAAGGGUCUGAAUGUGUUAUAAAUAAACAUAAAACUGGAUUUUGCCUUUAAAUACUGGAGAAAAAAAAAAAAAAAAGAGUGGUCUACCUGAUAUAAAUUGGUUCCCUCAA